CAGGAGCUGAUCUUGGAUUUGGUGGAGUCUCUGUCACGAGACUGCUCCGAUGGAUUACUUUGGGCUGCGGUGCCGGUUUGACGCCUUCUCCGUCGCUGUCCAGCCUGUGUGGGUCCCGGUAGUCGAACAGCGAGCGUACCGUCUCCGCCAUGUUCACGCCAGCGAUCACUGAUGUUGUGCCGUCGCCGACGCCGUCGCACUGUGAUCAGCUUCUCGCUCUUCCCCUCACUCGCUCGACUGGCUCACACCAAGGUUACUCCAGGCGCUACCAUCGCGCCGCGGCACAGGGGGUAUGUCAUCAUCAUCUGAUUCCAUGUCAACAGGAGUGUGGACUGAAGAUGAGAUAAUGCUACUUCAAGUAUCAACAACAAUAAACAGUUGUUGGUAACACUAGCAAGUCCAGUCGCCCCCUACAGUCAACUACAGAGGUUGUCUAUGACCCGGAUGACUGAGAACCUUCGCAGACAUCCUUCCAGUAUCAACAUCCCCUUGGCUACUGCCAAGAGAAAGGCUGAUGUGGAGCGAUCCAAGACCAGAGGGAACAUCGGUGCUGCGUUUGAACAGUGGCGAC